GAGGUUGUGGCUCAGUGGUAGAGCGCUUGCCUAGCACGUGUGAGGCACUGGGUUCAAUACUCAGCACCACA
rnacentral:tRNA from 1 species